rnacentral:rRNA from 1 species
AUGGUCCUACCAAAGUCGAUGGGUGGCAUGGGAUUCAAGGACAUGCGUGCUUUUAACCAAGCUCUUCUGGCCAAGCAAGCUUGGAGAUUGAUCUCACAUCCAGAAAGUUUGGUUGGAAGGUUGCUCAGUGCAAAAUAUUACCCCACAGGUAACUUGGUGGAUAAUGUAUUUACAGGAAACGCGUCGGCUAUAUGGCAUGGUAUUGAGCAUGGUCUGGAACUAGUUAAACGUGGAAUGAUAUGGCGUGUGGGAAACGGGAGCAAGAUUAGAACAUGGAGGGAUCCAUGGAUCCCAAGAGGCCUUCUCUAA